UGAGUAACACGUGGGCAAUCUGCCCUGCACUUCGGGAUAAGCCUGGGAAACUGGGUCUAAUACCGGAUAGGACCNNUNGACGCAUGNCUUGUGGUGGAAAGCUUUUGCGGUGUGGGAUGGGCCCGCGGCCUAUCAGCUUGUUGGUGGGGUGANGGCCUACCAAGGCGACGACGGGUAGCCGGCCUGAGAGGGUGUCCGGCCACACUGGGACUGAGAUACGGCCCAGACUCCUACGGGAGGCAGCAGUGGGGAAUAUUGCACAAUGGGCGCAAGCCUGAUGCAGCGACGCCGCGUGGGGGAUGACGGCCUUCGGGUUGUAAACCUCUUUCACCAUCGACGAAGGUNCGGGUUUUCUCGGAUUGACGGUAGGUGGAGAAGAAGCACCGGCCAACUACGUGCCAGCAGCCGCGGUAAUACGUAGGGUGCGAGCGUUGUCCGGAAUUACUGGGCGUAAAGAGCUCGUAGGUGGUUUGUCGCGUUGUUCGUGAAAUCUCACGGCUUAACUGUGAGCGUGCGGGCGAUACGGGCAGACUAGAGUACUGCAGGGGAGACUGGAAUUCCUGGUGUAGCGGUGGAAUGCGCAGAUAUCAGGAGGAACACCGGUGGCGAAGGCGGGUCUCUGGGCAGUAACUGACGCUGAGGAGCGAAAGCGUGGGGAGCGAACAGGAUUAGAUACCCUGGUAGUCCACGCCGUAAACGGUGGGUACUAGGUGUGGGUUUCCUUCCUUGGGAUCCGUGCCGUAGCUAACGCAUUAAGUACCCCGCCUGGGGGAGUACGGGCCGCAAGGCUAAAACUCAAAAGGAAUUGACGGGGGGCCCGCACAA
rnacentral:rRNA from 1 species